rnacentral:rRNA from 1 species
UACGUAGGGGGCAAGCGUUGUCCGGAAUCAUUGGGCGUAAAGAGCGUGUAGGCGGCCAGGUAGGUCAGCUGUGAAAACUCGAGGCUCAACCUCGAGACGUCGGUUGAAACCACCUGGCUAGAGUCCGGAAGAGGAGAGUGGAAUUCCUGGUGUAGCGGUGAAAUGCGCAGAUAUCAGGAGGAACACCAAUUGCGAAGGCAGCUCGCUGGAACGUUACUGACGCUGAGACGCGAAAGCGUGGGGAGCAAACAGG